GCGCCUGUAGCUCAGUGGAUAGAGCGUCGGCCUCCGGAGCCGAAGGUCCCGCGUUCGAAUCGCGGCAGGCGCA
rnacentral:tRNA from 1 species